GCGCAGGUGGUGUAAUGGCGUAGAGCAUUCCCGCCCGGUUAGAGGGAGGUGCGGGUUCGAGUCCCGCCUGGCGCU
rfam:Heligmosomoides polygyrus genome assembly, scaffold: HPBE_scaffold0003046